CUUCUGUACUUAACAAGGAACAGCGUCAUACAGUCAUACAUACACCUGAACGACUGUCGUCAUCGAAACCACCGUCAUCUUACCAGUAAGCAUUAAUGUAUGAAAGAUAUUAACUUCUCACUUCAUGAUCUCGUAAAUAACAAUAUUUUCUUCGCGAUGAGUUUGUACACAAGAAAACAUGUAUGUACAUACAAGGUACUUACAAAAACAUUUAUAACUUGACAGACUGACAUGUUGUGUGUGAGUAUGUUUUGCAGAAUAAUAAAUAUGUGAGAUAUAAAACGCGAAUAAAGUUGCAAUUUUGUAUCCAUUCCUUAUUUUGAGAACGAUCUGACAAGAUAUCCAAUCUACGGGAUCUGUUAUCAUAUUUAAUGCAAACAUAAAUCCAAUUUUUAGCUUUAAAAAGUGCCAAUAUUUAAAACGCACAAAUUUCUUUACAUAUUCAAGUUGCGAAAUAUUUCUAAAAAGAGAAAUAACAUACAAACAAAAAAAUGAACCGAAUUGCCCCUUUCUUUGUGAGAUCGGAACCACAGAGUGGAUCGAGCCAAAAUCAACUAUCAUACAGUGAAUGGAGAAUUAACAAAGGUUCAAAUCAAAACAAUGGAGUGUCCAAGACGGAAAAUUCGUCCUCCAGUCAGUCAUGGAAAUGUACAAAUUCUAAGAAUAAUGCCACCAAGUCUGACAGUAUUUCCAAGUAUGCAAGGAAUUCGUGAUUUUUGCUUAGCUUGUUAAGUUUAGUAUACAAGUACACGGUUCAUAAAUAGUACAUAUUAAAUAAAAACAUGGAUAACUACAUA